UACGAAGGGUGCAAGCGUUAUCCGGAUUCAUUGGGUUUAAAGGGUGCGUAGGCGGAACAAUAAGUCAGCGGUGAAAGCCCGCAGCUUAACUGCGGAAUUGCCGUUGAUACUGUUGUUCUUGAGUACGUUUGACGUGGGCGGAAUGUGCCGUGUAGCGGUGAAAUGCUUAGAUAUGGCACAGAACACCGAUAGUGAAGACA
rnacentral:rRNA from 1 species